rnacentral:miRNA from 1 species
CGCCGUGUCUCUGCCGCUCGCU